GACUAACGCUGGCGGCGUGCCUAACACAUGCAAGUCGAACGAGGUAGCAAUACCUAGUGGCAGACGGGUGAGUAACGCGUAGAUAAUGUGCCCUCUUGGCGGGGGAUACCGUUUACGAAAGGAACGUUAAUACCGCAUAAUACGACCUGAAGGCAUCUUCAGGACGUCAAACGUUCCGGGGGCGGGAGGAGCAGUCUGCGUUCUAUCAGUUAGUUGGUGGGGUAAUGGCCUACCAAGACUACGACGGAUAACUGGUCUGAGAGGAUGAUCAGUCACACUGGAACUGAGACACGGUCCAGACU
rnacentral:rRNA from 1 species